CUAAUUGUAUGAAUUUGUCGUAUUCGACAAAUGACGAAUCAGAGUGAUUAAAUACUAAAAGGCAGAAUGUGAAGAAGAAAAGUGAUAUGAAGCAUACAUUCAGCAGACUUUGACGGUUAAAUAGCAGAACAUAGAACCUGUGAACUCACAACCUAUGAACUUAAUACUCAUAAGGGAACUCAUGGUUGCAGAACUUAGAACCCCAGUUACAGCAAACAGAAAAUUAUCCAAUCAGAACCCAGCAGACUUUCGUGGUUAAAUACCAGAACGUAGAACCUGUGAACUUACAACCUACGAACUUAAUACUCAUAAGGGAACUCAUGGCUACAGAACUUAGAACCCCAGUUACAGAACUCCAAUUACAGCGAAGACAAAAUUAUCCAAUCUGUUGAAUACUUGUAGGGCAAACAAUUAGCCAAAGAGAAACAGUAAUUACCUUUAGCAGGAAAGCUUGCAAAUGUAAAAGUAGAAGGACCGUGAAGAUGAGCAGUAUUACUUCCUAAUGCAUAAGGACACAAACUUUGUGAGUCGUAACUCUUGAUCAUUUGCCAACUGGCCAACAAACUAAUAAAUAGAAGCAACUGAACAAGAUAUACAAAGUCACAAACUAAUUGUUUGAAUUUAUCAUAUUCAACUAAUAAGACUGAUUAAAUACUAAAACAAAAUGCAAGGAAAAAAAACAUUCACUGGAAAAGUGAUAAGUGAAACCAAACGAAGUUACAACUAAAAAACUAUCACUAACUUAUGAAACACAAUAAAAGUUUUGGAGAAAAAUUGCAGCACACAUUGAAGGACUGAAGAGAGUGACCUGAAAUUGAAACAACUGCUGAAUAGAAGUCUGUGAACGCUAAAUAAGAAGUUCUUAUGCAUCAAUUCUUUCACAGUGCAAUUAAAUCCCUGUAGAAAUUUGGCAACCAAAAUAAAAAGUAUACAGAGUAUCCAAUCUCUUUAAUACUCGUAGAGAAAAAAAGGGUUAAAAACAAAAAAGUCUCGUAUGGUAUACCUAAUACACAGAAAAUCCCUCCAUGAUUUCAAAACAUACAAAACGACACCUCAUGUUUCGAACUAAAUUAUAAACUAACAAAAUUCGUUAAAUUUAACGAAAAUGACGGUCUCGGCCUUUAAACUUACUGGAUUCCGUUAAGUUUACUAGAUUCUGUUAAGUUUAAUGUAAGUUUACUGGAUUCUGUUAAAUUUAACGAAUUCUGUUAGUUUAUAAUUUAGUUCAAAACAUGAAGUGUUGUUUUGUAUGUUUUGAAAUCACGGGGGGUUUUUUGUGUAUUAGGUAUACCACAUGGGACUUUUUUGUUUUUAACCAGAAAAAAAUUAAACACAAAAAAUGAGUAGUUACCUUUAGUAUGAAUGGUUGCAGAGGAAAAGAAGGAAGAAGCGUGGAGUUUUUUGUGAGCAGUAUUUGUGUUCCUGAUGUAUAAACAUACAAACUUUAUGAGUCGUUAAAGAUUUUUCUUUCACUCUUGAUAAUUUGCCAACUGGCCAACAAAAAGGAAAAUAAAAGGACAAACCUAUAUCCCUAACAAUGCUAUAAGCCAUCAUAAACACAAUAGAUAACGACACAAAGUUAAUGAAUUAUUAGAGAUUUUUCUUUCAAUCUUGAUAAUUUCUCAAAUGGGGAACAAAAAGGAAGACAAAAGGACAAACUUAUAUCCUAGUAAUGAAUAGAAAUCAUACUUCAUACUUAACUCUUUCUGGAACAAUCCCACGGUUGGAUAUGGAUGAGCAGCCAUAAUUUAGGGAAAAAGCGUCAAAUUAUUGGCCAAGUGGUGGAGGAGUUCAAUUGGUAUUUUUGUUCCUCUAAACUAAAAGGAAAAGAAAGCUAUCAUUUAGGGGAAAAAAUCAUCAAGUUGUUGGCCAACUGUUGGAGGAGUUGAAGCGGUACUUUUCUUCAUUCGAACCAGAAAGAAAACUAAGGAGAAAGAAAGGAAUCGAAAACAGAGAGAGAGCAAUAGAGGAGAAAAAGUAGAGCUGAACAUGAAGACAAUGAAAUCUACAAACAUAUUUGUUGUGGUUCAAAGAUGAGAUAAAGUGCGAUUCGGAAUCACAAGGGCAAGCGUAAUUUAGGCAAAAAACUCAUCAAAUUUUUGACCAUUUGUUGCAGUAGCUCAUCUGCUUUCAUGCUUCUUCUGAAGCAAAAAUAAAACGAAAAAGAUGACACUACUAAAGAGAUGACAAGAAUGGUACUAAAGAGAUGACAAGAAUGGUAAGCAAAAAGUCAGAAAUAACCCUAAACUGUUGGCUACUAUUUUAAGAGCUUUUUUCUCCACUGGACAGAGUAGUAAUUUUAUCUAAAAAGACAAAAAUGUCCUCAAGGAUGACGUACUGUUUGGAGAAAUACUCAACAUUCCCAAGGCAUAAACGGAAACAAAAUUUUCUCCCUCCCUCCUGCCUUCACGUGGAUCAACCGAACAUACAAUCCUUAGAUUUUUCUAUAUGUGUAAGAAAUCUAUUGAAUACUUGUAAGGAAAAAAAUUAGCCAAAGAGAAACAAUAAUUACCUUUAGCAGGAAACUUACAGAUGUAAAAGUAGAAGGAUCGUGAAACUAAGCAGUAGUGCUUCCUAAUGUAUAAGGACACAAACUUUAUGAGUUAUUAGAGAUACUUCUGUAACUCUUGAUCAUUUGCUAACUGGCCAACAAACUAGUAAAUAGAAGCAACUGAACAAGAUACAAAAGUCACAAACUAAUUGUUUGAACUUAUCAUAUUCAACUAAUGUGACCAAUUAAAUACUAAAAGGCAAAAUGCAAGGAAAAAAAACAUUCACUCGAUAAGUGAUAAGUGAAACCAAAUGAACUUACAACUGAAAAACUAUCACUAACGUAUGAAACAUAAUAAAAGUUAGAGAGAAAAAUUACAGCACAUACUGAAGGACUGAAGAGAGUGAC
rnacentral:lncRNA from 1 species